GGGGCGCACACAGUUUUGCUUGGAUCUGGGGGCGGCCACGUGGCCGUGGGCUCAGCGCUGUGCCCUGAGCCAGCCAGAAAGCGUCCUGCAGCUGAAAGCGGGGCUUGAAGGCGCUGCUCCAGGAGGCACUCAGCGUAAACAGUGAGAAUUCUGGGAAGUGCACAUAGACCCGUCUGUCGGAAAGGG
rfam:Oryctolagus cuniculus unplaced genomic scaffold chrTn0206, whole genome shotgun sequence.